UUUUUCUGUACUUAAAUGGAGGGGAGAGCGUUGCUACAGCAUUACGAGCUACGGGGCUGAAUGGUCCACAUCUUUGUUUCAGGGAUUUGGUGAGUCAUUUCAUAUAUAAUCAGUUCUACACGGUGGUGACACUUUAACUUUGUUCUUGCAGAAAUCCAUUUAAAAUGUUCUGUUAAAAUUCAUCUGAACAUUUUUUAUGCGCUCAGGGAGGCAACAAUUCAAAACCUGUAGCAGCUUAUUCGUGUAGGUCAGGGCGGCCCUCUGGGAACGGGAUAGCCCACCACUGGUGUAGAACAUAGUGUGAGUAAACAAGAACACAAAUAUGCCCAGUUUGAACAAUUUAAUGUGAACACAGGAGAUCAGCAAACUGUAGAUAAUAGUAGCACACACCGAGUCGAACCACAUCAGUCCUCAACACAUGAAGCUACAGACACUAUUCACAUAUUUAUGGAGUAUAAAAAACAAAAAAAGAAAACACCUUUACAUGGCAGGAUGUGUUAACCAUUGAUGUCUGCUGUGGGACUGAUGUUUUUAUAUAGGUCCAGAGGUCAAUUACAGACAGUUCACCUGACCGAUGUUGAGCCCUGAGUGCCGCUGAGUCAGCAGGAGCAGCAUGUGGUUGUAAGGGACUGGCACAGUCACUGUGGUAAUGUUGACCGAUACAAGGUGAGCAGUCUAACAGUCCCUGUGUUCGAGUCGGGAAGGAAUACACUGGUAGUAUGGCCUCAGGGAUUAGAGAGGACACUGGGUGAUACAAAGCCAUUAGUACAAUGUAUUUAGAGUUUUUGUAAAUUACCUCAGAAGUAACUGUUUAGAAAAAUAAGUUCUGAGAUUAAGGCGAUUGUAAAUAAAGCUGGUGUGAUCGAUGCCUACGUGUAAUGGCUUUCACAAAUCAAAUCUGAAAUAAAGGUAUUAAAGGUCCUUAGUCCUGAUUCCCUGUCCAUACAGUAUAUACUACAAGCAUUGUUAAAAAGAGGCUGACGUGAUGGAAGCAUUGU